rfam:Mus musculus chromosome 8, GRC primary reference assembly.
UGCGCCGGAGCCGGGGUCUGAGUCCCGGUCGCGCGGGCGAGGAACUCAUUGAGUUGCGCGUGCGGCCGGUGCUCAGUCGGCCCGGCUCCGGUACUCCGCU